rnacentral:rRNA from 1 species
UGCAUGCGGGUGCUAUACAUGCAAGUCGAGCGGACAGAUGGGAGCUUGCUCCCUGAUGUUAGCGGCGGACGGGUGAGUAACACGUGGGUAACCUGCCUGUAAGACUGGGAUAACUCCGGGAAACCGGGGCUAAUACCGGAUGGUUGUUUGAACCGCAUGGUUCAAACAUAAAAGGUGGCUUCGGCUACCACUUACAGAUGGACCCGCGGCGCAUUAGCUAGUUGGUGAGGUAACGGCUCACCAAGGCAACGAUGCGUAGCCGACCUGAGAGGGUGAUCGGCCACACUGGGACUGAGACACGGCCCAGACUCCUACGGGAGGCAGCAGUAGGGAAUCUUCCGCAAUGGACGAAAGUCUGACGGAGCAACGCCGCGUGAGUGAUGAAGGUUUUCGGAUCGUAAAGCUCUGUUGUUAGGGAAGAACAAGUACCGUUCGAAUAGGGCGGUACCUUGACGGUACCUAACCAGAAAGCCACGGCUAACUACGUGCCAGCAGCCGCGGUAAUACGUAGGUGGCAAGCGUUGUCCGGAAUUAUUGGGCGUAAAGGGCUCGCAGGCGGUUUCUUAAGUCUGAUGUGAAAGCCCCCGGCUCAACCGGGGAGGGUCAUUGGAAACUGGGGAACUUGAGUGCAGAAGAGGAGAGUGGAAUUCCACGUGUAGCGGUGAAAUGCGUAGAGAUGUGGAGGAACACCAGUGGCGAAGGCGACUCUCUGGUCUGUAACUGACGCUGAGGAGCGAAAGCGUGGGGAGCGAACAGGAUUAGAUACCCUGGUAGUCCACGCCGUAAACGAUGAGUGCUAAGUGUUAGGGGGUUUCCGCCCCUUAGUGCUGCAGCUAACGCAUUAAGCACUCCGCCUGGGGAGUACGGUCGCAAGACUGAAACUCAAAGGAAUUGACGGGGGCCCGCACAAGCGGUGGAGCAUGUGGUUUAAUUCGAAGCAACGCGAGAACCUUACCAGGUCUUGACAUCCUCUGACAUCCUAGAGAUAGGACGUCCUCUCGGGGCAGAGUGACAGUGUGCAUGAUGUCGUCAGCUCGUGUCGUGAGAAUGUGGGUAAGUCCCGCAACGAGCGCACCCUUGAUCUAGUGCCAGCAUUCAGUUGGGAAUC